rnacentral:lncRNA from 1 species
GGGUUUGCAUGGGAUCAUAAAUGAAUGUGACUGGAAAUUGCAAGGUAUAGUGAACGGAAUCGAUAUGGAGGACUGGAAUCCACAACAUGAUGUUCACCUCAAAUCAGAUGGUUAUACUAACUACUCCAUCGAAACACUGCAGCCUGGCAAGGCUCAGUGCAAGGCAGCCUUGCAGAAGGAGCUCGGGCUACCUGUUCGUGAAGAUGUCCCACUGAUUGGUUUUAUUGGGAGACUGGAUCAUCAAAAGGGUGUCGAUAUAAUUGCUGAGGCAAUUCCCUGGAUGAUGGACCAGGAUGUGCAAUUAGUCAUGUUAGGCACUGGCAGACAGGACUUGGAAGAGCUGCUUAGGCAGUUUGAAGGCCAACAUCAUGACAAAGUCCGGGGGUGGGUAGGGUUUUCUGUAGAGACAGCUCAUCGUAUAACAGCUGGGGUGGAUAUUUUACUCAUGCCAUCAAGAUUUGAACCCUGUGGACUGAACCAACUGUAUGCUAUGUGCUAUGGAACAAUUCCAGUUGUCCAUGCUGUCGGUGGGUUGAGGGACACAGUGCAGCCUUUCAAUCCAUUUGAAGAGUCGGGGUUUGGUUGGACAUUUGACAGCGCUGAUGCAAGUAAGUUGAUACAUGCGUUAGGGAACUGCUUGUUGACAUAUCGUG